rnacentral:rRNA from 1 species
AGUAAAAGUCGUAACAAGGUCUCUGUAGGUGAACCUGCGGAGGGAUCAUUACAAGUGACCCCGGUCUAACCACCGGGAUGUUCAUAACCCUUUGUUGUCCGACUCUGUUGCCUCCGGGGCGACCCUGCCUUCGGGCGGGGGCUCCGGGUGGACACCUCAAACUCUUGCGUAACUUUGCAGUCUGAGUAAACUUAAUUAAUAAAUUAAAACUUUUAACAACGGAUCUCUUGGUUCUGGCAUCGAUGAAGAACGCAGCGAAAUGCGAUAAGUAAUGUGAAUUGCAGAAUUCAGUGAAUCAUCGAAUCUUUGAACGCACAUUGCGCCCCCUGGUAUUCCGGGGGGCAUGCCUGUUCGAGCGUCAUUUCACCACUCAAGCCUCGCUUGGUAUUGGGCAACGCGGUCCGCCGCGUGCCUCAAAUCGACCGGCUGGGUCUUCUGUCCCCUAAGCGUUGUGGAAACUAUUCGCUAAAGGGUGCUCGGGAGGCUACGCCGUAAAACAAACCCAUUUCUAAGGUUGACCUCGGAUCAGGUAGGGAUACCCGCUGAACUUAAGCAUAUCAAUAAGCGGAGGAAAAGAAACCAACAGGGAUUGCCCCAGUAACG